GCUGGGCAUGGUGGUGCAUGCCUGUAAUCCCAGCUACGUGGGAGACUGAGACAGGAGAAUCUCUUGAACCCAGGCAGUGGAGGUUACAGUGAGCUGAGAUCAUGCCACUGCCCUCCAGCCUGGGUGACAAAGUGAGACUCUGUCUCAA
ensembl:misc_RNA Metazoa_SRP Metazoan signal recognition particle RNA